UGCAAAUAAAAAGAAAAGCUUCUGCAAAUAAAAGAAAAACGUUGCAAAUAAAAGAAAAACGUUGCAAAUAAAAGAAACAUCGCAGCAAAUAAAAAAAAUAAGCGAUGCAAAUAAAAGAAACACCGCAGCAAAUAAAAAACAUAAGCGAUGCAAAUAAAAAAAGCCACAACGGAAGUGGAUUACCGGGGACUGUUUUUGCCGAUGCACCGGUGUUUUGUGAGAGGAGAAGAAGAAGACGAAGAAGAAGACGAAGAAAUAGAGAACGGAGAAACAAGAACAGGAAUACAAACUGGAAAACGAACAAGAAAAUGUAUUGUCCUUUUUGAUGUUCGCUUCAGGUGUGCCAUGUGUGCCUCCUGCUGGUAUGAGUCCUCUGCCACGCCUUCAAUUCCUGUGUUCUACAACGUCAACAUUCCCAAUGGCGAAUACCUGUGCCAACAUUUUAAAGCUUCCUCUUUUGGACACUUAUAGUGCCUUCAAAGCCAACAUGGACUUUGGCAUCAAGAAUUCCCCCGGCUUUGGGUGCUUUUAGACAAUUAACCUGUGGUAAAAGUUAAUGUUGCCACACACAGUCUCACUCACUAGUGUAGUUUUAAUGUAGUGAGGAAGAGAGAUGUUUGUGAGAGUUUCUGUCUAUUUUCAUGGCAGAUUUGUGAUAUUUGUUAUAUAUUUCAUAGCACAUUUGUUAUGUUAUACAUUCUGUUGCACAUUCAAACAUAAGUUGCACAGCAACAUUUUUUUUUUAAAUAUUUUGUUUUGUAUUGCAAAUACGUGGUCUGUUGUCAACACCACACAUUUUUAUUGUAUUAUUAAUUGAUAACAGGAAUGGGCUUGCAGCUUCAGCUUGUUUCUAUAAUAAAAAAUACCAAACUACAGACUGUU